ACCCUUGUACUAUGCUCGAUCCAUCUAGUGGGUCAUAGUUCGCGAUGUAUUCUUCCACUAAUGCCACAUUAAAUGAAGGCAAACUAUCUGACUUUCGUAAAAACUAAAACAUUUGCACAUUUUAAAAAUCUCGUAUUCUCCUUGGCAUCCAGCAAAUCUCCAGCUUCAUAGGCUCCAUAUUGGUAACGAUUACUACGGAUGGUGGUCCUAAAUUAUGUUUAGCUUUCACAUUUCGGCCACUUUCUUCUCUGUCCAUAGCUCUCUUUGCACUCUCUAUCGCCAUGACGCACACUCUUUCAAGUUCUAAUCGUCAAUACUACGUUCCAGUACUCCGAAACACCCAAAAUUAUAACA
rnacentral:lncRNA from 1 species